UGGGUCUGGUUGAACCUCCUACUGGGCACU
rnacentral:piRNA from 1 species